rnacentral:rRNA from 1 species
UACAGAGGGUGCGAGCGUUAAUCGGAAUUACUGGGCGUAAAGCGCACGUAGGCGGCUUGGUAUGUCGGGUGUGAAAUCCCCGGGCUCAACCUGGGAACUGCAUCCGAAACUGCCUUGCUCGAGUAUGGGAGAGGGAAGUGGAAUUUCCGGUGUAGCGGUGGAAUGCGUAGAUAUCGGAAGGAACAUCAGUGGCGAAGGCGACUUCCUGGACCAAUACUGACGCUCAGGUGCGAAAGCGUGGGGAGCAAACAGG